GCCAAUGAUGAUAUGAUCCAAUUUGUUUGAGGUGUAGUGGAACCAAGACCCUGUUUCAGGGAGAACCUCCUUGGCGAAGCUGCAUUUCACAUGAAAUUAACGGAUCUUACUGAGGC